AAUCUGUUAGUAUAAUGGCUUAUUACGUUCGACUCUGAAUCGAAAAACGAAGGUUCGAUUCCUUCACAGAUUA
rnacentral:tRNA from 1 species